rnacentral:lncRNA from 1 species
CACAGCUUCGGGAGGCUCUUUCCAAAGCACACAUCUGACCACGUGACUGCCCUGCUCCAGAGCCUUCCGUGACUCCCCAUUUCCGAGGGACGAGGUCUGGCCUGCUCCCGCCUGCCUCUGUGACCCCGGCUCAAUGCCCUAAAGCCUGAAUGUGCGGGUCACGACUGGCCCCUGUGAGUCCUCCGGGCUCAGCCUACCGAGGUCACGUCUGCAGGCAGCCUUCUGGGGACUCCUCACUGGGGGCCACCAGCCCGAGCUGCCCCUUCCCUGCAGGACCACGCCUGGCCGUCCUUCUCAGCAGCCGCGUCCGUCCCCACAGGCAGGUGGCCCCUCGAGGGCAGGGGCUGCGCGGACUCCCCGGCGGCCGAGCCGCGGGUCAGGUGGACGGGGAGGGAUGGGGGCGGG